CGCCUGACACUCAGCCGUGCGCCAGCGUCCCAUUGGUCCAGACGGCGCGCUUUCUUAAUUCAGGAAUCGAGCGUCUUCGAAGGCGACGGAGCCUGGCCGCUUCGGAGGGUCUCCAGGCCCCUACCCCGCGGAGGUUUCUUUCCUCUGCAGAGGUUUCCUCCCGCCGGUGCCCCGCGCGCCAGUCUCAGGCUUCACCGAACCGACAAAGAGCCAAGAGUCAGAUAAAACCAGUACAAAUCCCCAAAUCAAGGAAAGCAAAGGUCCAUCCAAGGCACCAUCUACUUUGGAAGUCUUUUCUGCCUGUGUCCCCGCUGAGCCACCAGGUUCCCAGCCCCACCUUCUGCAAGUGCACAUCACAUGGCGAUGCGCUGUCAGGCUUUGAUGAAGCAAGCCGCCAUGUUGGAAAUGGUCACACAGCAAGGAACUGAGGGUGGCCUCCGGAGGAGCUGAGGCCCAGUCCGACGACCUGCGAGGAACUGAAUCCUGCCCACAGCCGUGUGAGCUUGGGAGUGAACGCUUCCUGACUGGAGGUCCCUCAGCUCUGGCUGAUGCCUUGAUUACAGCCUCAUGAGAGACCCUGAAGCAAGAGAACCCAACUAAACCACGCCUGACCCUCAGAAACCAACAGGUAAAACCAUGUGUGCAGUUUUAAGCCACUAAGACUUGGGGGUAAUUUAUGACACAGCAAUAAAUCACUGAUAAGACAAAUGAAUAAAUCAGUAGUUGAAUGAACGAAACUCAAGACCUCACCAAAGGAAGAGGAACUCAAGACUCGAGGGGGAUGGACUGAGGUAGCUAGUCAAAGAGGACUGCUGAUGCUCCCGGUUUGAUGAUGUUCCUCCCAGCUACAGGAUCCGAAGAUGGGAUUUGGGGGAAAACUCUCCCAGAGUUCUCAGAAUCAGAAAUUCACCAGGUCAGUGGACAUUUUAUAUACUUAUUUUAUAUAUGUACCAUCUGACAUCACACAUGAGAAUUUGUGUUUGUAGGCGGGUACCAAAAAUACAGCCUCAGUGAUACCAAUUUGGGUCCAGUUUAUGUCAAAAUGAACAGUCUGGCUUGAGAGGCCUUCAUUUUAAAUGUCUGUAUUUUAAGUCUUGAUCCAAGUGACCCUCUCAAAGCGUCUCCAUCUCAUGUGUGUUUGGCUACAAGAAGUCUCAUGUGACUCUGAAAAUGGAAGCAGCACUAAUUAACUGGAGUGUGUUAGUGGGUGUUGAUUGUGUACGUAGUCCAGACGUAAAUAAUAUAAAAUCCGUUAUGGAGCUAUAAAUACCACCUUUAUCAAUAGCUCUCAUAAUUUAUAAUUUCCCAGUGCAUUUCAAGAUGCCAACUCUCACCUUUUCCCUAGAUUGAUUUCCUUGCCUCAGAGUAAUAAAAGGGUGCAAAAUAAUAAUAAUAAUAAUAAUAAUUAUAAUGACGUACUUUACAGUGACUCAUUCAUGUUCCAGCAUCCAGUCUUGAGGGAGGUCUACAAAGAAAUUCUUCAACCUUCUUAAAUCUCAUUUUUUUUUCCUGCCCAGUUACACAUGGGAACUAUAAUUGUUUAUUGCAUUUCUCUGGGUUAAGCUCAUUUUCCAUUGGAACUCCUAAUUACUUGAUCACUGUGGCAUUGGAACCUGCCUUAACAUUUAAAGUUUAUUUGCUAUCAAAUAAAGGAUAUUUGUUUUCCCUGUUAUUUAUAAUCAUUUUCUUAAUCUCCUAGCAUCCAAAUCUUAUUUCAGUUGCUCAUGAGGAAAAACUCAUGUUUGCUCUGUGGAAAUGCAUAAAUGCAUCUAAUGGCAUGAUGUCCCUUUGUGUGUAUCCAAAAAGGGAGGGCAAGGGCUCACUGAAGAAAUCUAAAUGGUGAAAUCCUGAACUUAAAGACAGGUUACAGACUGUCUAUUUAAGUAACCAAUUUUUAAAAAAUCAUUAUUUGUAGAGGGAUGUGUUGCACUAUUGGCCUAUUGGUUGCAGACCAUGAUUCUUUUUUUUUUUCAGUUGAAGUAUAGUUAAUUUACAAUGUUGUGUUAGUUUCUGGUGUACAGCAUAGUGAUUCAG